rnacentral:rRNA from 1 species
GAUGAACGCUGGCGGCGUGCCUAAUACAUGCAAGUCGAGCGAACAGACGAGGAGCUUGCUCCUCUGGCGUUAGCGGCGGACGGGUGAGUAACACGUGGAUAACCUACCUAUAAGACUGGGAUAACUUCGGGAAACCGGAGCUAAUACCGGAUAAUAUAUUGAACCGCAUGGUUCAAUAGUGAAAGACGGUUUUGCUGUCACUUAUAGAUGGAUCCGCGCCGCAUUAGCUAGUUGGUAAGGUAACGGCUUACCAAGGCAACGAUGCGUAGCCGACCUGAGAGAGUGAUAGGCCACACUGGAAGUGAGACACGGUCCAGACUCCUACGGGAGGCAGCAGUAGGGAAUCUUCCGCAAUGGGCGAAAGCUUGACGGAGCAACGCCGCGUGAGUGAUGAAGGUCUUCGGAUCGUAAAACUCUGUUAUUAGGGAAGAACAAAUGUGUAAGUAACUAUGCACGUCUUGACGGUACCUAAUCAGAAAGCCACGGCUAACUACGUG